rnacentral:misc_RNA from 1 species
GAUGAAGAACGUAGCGAAAUGCGAUAAGUAAUGUGAAUUGCAGAAUUCAGUGAAUCAUCGAAUCUUUGAACGCACAUUGCGCCCCUUGGUAUUCCGAGGGGCAUGCCUGUUCGAGCGUCAUUACACCACUCAAGCUAUGCUUGGUAUUGGGUGUCGUCCUUAGUUGGGCGCGCCUUAAAGACCUCGGCGAGGCCUCCCCGGCUUUAGGCGUAGUAGAAUUUAUUCGAACGUCUGUCAAAGGAGAGGAACUCUGCCGACUGAAACCUUUGUUUUUACAGGUUGACCUCGGAUCAGGUAGGGAUACCCGCUGAACUUAAGCAUAUCAAUAAGCGGAGGA